rnacentral:rRNA from 1 species
UACGUAGGCAGCAAGCGUUGUUCGGAGUUACUGGGCGUAAAGGGUGUGUAGGCGGUUGGAUAAGUGUGGUGUGAAAUCUCCCGGCUUAACUGGGAGGGUGCGCUACAAACUGUCUGACUAGAGUGUGGGAUGGGUAAGUGGAAUUCCUGGUGUAGCGGUGAAAUGCGUAGAUAUCAGGAGGAACACCGAUGGCGAAGGCAGGUCUCUGGGCAUUAACUGACGCUGAGGAGCGAAAGCAUGGGGAGCGAACAGG